rnacentral:rRNA from 1 species
CGCCGACAUUGUGAACGCUUCUCCGGAAGCAUUGCUUGGGUGUCGCAAGGCGCCCAACAUUCAAACUCUUAUAUUUUAUCUCUGACAACCAAGAAAUUUAAAACUUUCAACAACGGAUCUCUUGGUUCUCGCAUCGAUGAAGAACGCAGCAAAGCGCGAUAGGUAAUGCGAAUUGCACACGUGAGUCAUUGAAUCUUUGAACGCACAUUGCGCCAUCAGGUUCUCCUGAUGGCAUGCUUGUUGGAGCGCCGAUCUUUCUCUCAUACUACUUUAUGUAGAAGAGGUUCUGCUCCUAUCAGGAGUCAAAAGAAUGGAAGUGCACACGUUAGAUAACUCUGUGCAGUUACACUUACAAUCUUUUGGCCUCCAAUCAAGCAAGGCUACCCGCUGAACUUAAAGCAUAACA